AAUUUCAAAUGAAAUAUUUGGAAUUCUGGUGUGGGCAGGAUUGAGCUCUGCUUAUUUUAUGAGCCUGAAGACCGGAUGGAAUAAAGAAGAUAACUGAGAAGAUUGGAACUGGAAACAAGUUACAGAGACACAGUCCCACAGAAGGAGAAGGACAACAAAGGAGCUAGCAGGUAGACAGGAAGGUAAAAACAAGGACUGCAGAUGCUGGAAACCAGAUUCU